rnacentral:rRNA from 1 species
CCUACGGGAGGCUGCAGUGGGGAAUAUUGGACAAUGGGCGAAAGCCUGAUCCAGCCAUGCCGCGUGUGUGAAGAAGGCCUUCGGGUUGUAAAGCACUUUCAGUGGGGAAGAAAGCCUUGGGGCUAAUACCCUCGAGGAAGGACAUCACCCACAGAAGAAGCACCGGCUAACUCCGUGCCAGCAGCCGCGGUAAUACGGAGGGUGCGAGCGUUAAUCGGAAUUACUGGGCGUAAAGCGCGCGUAGGCGGUCUGAUAAGCCGGUUGUGAAAGCCCCGGGCUCAAACUGGGAACGGCAUCCGGAACUGUCAGGCUAGAGUGCAGGAGAGGAAGGUAGAAUUCCCGGUGUAGCGGUGAAAUGCGUAGAGAUCGGGAGGAAUACCAGUGGCGAAGGCGGCCUUCUGGACUGACACUGACGCUGAGGUGCGAAAGCGUGGGUAGCAAACAGGAUUAGAUACCCUAGUAGUC